AUUGAACGCUGGCGGCAGGCCUAACACAUGCAAGUCGAGCGAGCGGCGAACGGGUGAGAAUUUCAUGGGGAUCUCCCCGAUAGGGGGGGAUAACUACUGGAAACGGUGGCUAAUACCCAAUACUACCGGAGGAACCCACAUGGGCUUAGCUAGGAGGGGGGGUAAAGGCCAACAUAGGCGCCGAUCCCUAGUUGGUCUGAGAGGAUGACAAGCCACACUGGGCCGGAGAAACGGCCCAGACUCCUACGGGAGGCAGGAGUGGGGAAUAUUGCACAAUGGGCGCAAGCCUGAUGCAGCCAUGCCGCGUGUAUGAAGAAGGCCUUAGGGUUGUAAAGUACUGUCAGCGGGGAGGCGUUACCCGCAGAAGAAGCACCGGCUAACUCCGUGCCAGCCGCCGCGGUAACAC
rnacentral:rRNA from 1 species